rnacentral:rRNA from 1 species
CUUUGAAGAGAGAGUUCUCGAGGGCGUGAACCGCUAAGAAGGAAACGGAUAGAGUCGACGAAACUCGUGCGGCAUUCAGCUAAGUAAUGUUGCGGCGCUUGUAGUUAAACGUCUCGAUGAGAGUUUAAUUAUAGGAUGUCUGUAUGCAUUUUGUUUAGUGUAUUUGCCGUCGGUAUGCGCCGAGAUAUUUGUUAUGAUGUGUUAAUGCAAUGUUAAAGAAGUCCACUUUAUUUUUAAUGUGGAGACUUUUGCGUGUUAAAGCAUAUUCGUAAUAAAUCUGAAUGAACAUUCUUCGCUGUAGCGCAUAGGUUAUUCUAUGCUUAUAUGACUUCUGAACGGUCGCGUGCGACUUGUUUGUUGUUUGUAUGAGCUUAUAUAUGACUAUAUUGCGUUAAGAAUGUAUCUCGGUGUGAAAGUCGAUCACCUAUCCGACCCGUCUUGAAACACGGACCAAGGAGUCUAGCAUAUGCGCAAGUCAUUGGGUGGUAAACCUAAAGGCGUAAUGAAAGUAAAUAUUGCUUUAACGUAAUUGAUAUGGGAUCUGUUUAGUUUCGACUAAACAGCGCACCAUAGUCCCGUCUUUGUUGCUUGCAAUAGGGCGGAGAUAGAGCGCAUACGCUGGGACCCGAAAGAUGGUGAACUAUGCCUGAGCAGGAUGAAGCCAGAGGAAACUCUGGUGGAGGUCCGAAGCGGUUCUGACGUGCAAAUCGAU